CCGGCCUUUAUGUCUCUCGGUGCCCGGCCGAUUUAUCGGCGGGAGAAUCGGGAAGGCGGUGCAAAUCCGCCGCGUGCCCAACGCUGUAAGGAGGACGGGCGAUGCGAAAAGCCACUGGUCAGGGAAAACCCGGCCGGGAAGGCGCAUCGGCCGGGUGAAUCCGAGUCAGAAGACCGGCCGGGAGACGAAACCGGGC
rnacentral:ncRNA from 2 species